GCGGCGCCGGGGAGAACAAUCCCGGAGCAUUCCGGUCUUCUCGGCAGUUAUCCAUCCUGGUUCUUCCACUCCUCGCUGCACAGAUGGGGCAACUAAGGCCCGCGGAAUGGGCAUGACUUGUGCAGGGUUACUCGGCGAAGAAAGGGCUGAGCGGUCAAGAGAGUGCUAUUCCGGCUGAACAAAUAGUGAGAACCAGAGAGGUCGGGUGAUUUGCCCAAGGCUGCACAGCGAGAAAGCAGCGGAAGGCUAAACCUUCUCAGCCCAGCAGCCAGAACUCAGCUCCCUGGAGGGUGGAGAUGCGGCUGGAGUCAGAUUCUGGGCUGCGCUCCGAGGAACAGUGACCUGGAACGGUGACAACCGGCCAACGUUUCCCGCAGGUUCUUCCGAAGUCCCGGGAAACUGCAGGUCACCAGAUUCGGAAUUUAAAACAUCAGACGGCUGGUCCUUUCCCCCUGUAAACUCGGGCGCCGGGUAUGGAUGGAACUGGGCCAUGUGGCCCUGGAGUGGGGUUCUCCUUGUGCUUCAGGGGUGCUGUUGAAUCCAGAUGGGCUCUGGGCCCAGUUUACCAUCUACCCCUAUCCCGCCCAAUCUGAGCCUCAUCUUUUUUUGUCAAACCUCCAGUCCCAUGGCAUCCACCUGGUCCCCAUGGGUGGCUUCUCACCAGAAUGAAUUCUGCCGUGCUCCAGCACUCACCACUCACUUGCCCACUUCUGAACCCUUCCUUACCCCUCCUGGAAACAUCCCUCCCCUCCUGGCUGGGGCUGUUGAUUUCCUCCCCUCCAGUGGAGAUGGGGUGUGCAGUGAGAACCCUGAGGUCCUCUCCCAUCACCCACUGCCCUCCUGUUGCCCCAGUCACCAUUGCCCAGUCACGGCUGUUUGUUGACACCCGGGCCUUGCAGCUGUGUUGGGAUCUGCUCGCCACCUCCUCAGUGUGUCAUCAGGCAGUGAGGAUCUGCCUGAUACGCUCACACACACUGGCCUCAGCUUUCCUGGCCUCCUUGUCUCUGGGGACCAUCGCUGGGAGUCUAGGUCCACGGCCCAUGCCUGCAUCCCUUUGGAUCCUGGAUGUUAUUGAGACUCUCCAACUGUUCCCUCAGCUCUCUGCCCCUCAGCCACUUUGUGACCUCAGCUCCCUCCCUCUCCACAACCCCCCAGGCAGCACCCCUUUCUGUCUCCCAACCCACCUUAGAGUUCUCCAUGUUCUCUUUCAGUGUUGCUUCCCUAUCCCCAUGGGCGCUCUCAUCUCUGCUUUCUUCCAGCAAGUCUGGAAAAGCCCCAUUCCUGGGGCAAGUCUACCUCCCCUCUGCCUUCUGCCAACCUGCUCCUGCACAACCGGGCACUGUGUCACAGGCGCCAGUGAAUUCAUCAUCCCUGAAGCAGCCCCAGACCCAAAGAUGAAGGAGGAUCGGUCAAGUGACCCUCACCUCGUCACUUAGGUGAAUUGUAUCUCAGUCUCCUUUCACGCCGCAGGAGAUGCUGUGAGGAUGGAGCAAGAUAAUGCCCAUGGAACAUCCAUCACCUCACCAUGUCUGGUGCCUUCCCCAUCCCUAACCUGACCCUCAGAGAGAGUGUCUUAUGGGAAAGGUUGCAUGAAGGGCAGUGGCGCCUAUAAUGCUCAUAGGCUUUGGGGACGUGCUGACCUGUCUCAUGGUCCUGCCUCUUCUACUCACUCUCCCAGGGACCUUGACCA